UACGUAGGGGGCGAGCGUUGUCCGGAGUUACUGGCGUAAAGGGCACGCAGGCGGUGCGGCGCGUUUCGCCGUGACGAGCGGAGGGCUUAACUCUCCGAGGAUGCGAAAGACGGCGGCACUUGAGGGCCAGAGAGGGACACGGAAUUCCGGGUGGAGUGGUGAAAUGCGGUAGAGAGUCCGGAGGAACACCGAAGGCGAAGGCAGUGUCCUGGCUGGUGACUGACGCUGAGGUGCGAAAGCUAGGGGAGCGAACGGG
rnacentral:rRNA from 1 species